rnacentral:misc_RNA from 1 species
AAAUCGCCGAACCGGAAAGUCAUCUCCAUAUCUGUUUCCCCCUCAUAUUGGGUAUCUCUUCUUCUCGCUUUGCCCAGCUUCUCCCUCUCCCUUUCCCCACCCAGGCACCCCACGCCCCGUCAUCACGAGCCCCUCUCCAUCAUUCGACGCGACAUCAUCUUUAUUAGCCGCACGUCACUCGUUGGUGAUUGCUGGUGCUACCCCCUCUUCUCACCCGCCAAAGCCGUCCAUCGCUGGUUUUGCUUCGUUCUCUCUCUGUCAUCUCUGCCUUUCUUCCUUCCACAUCCCUGAAAGUGAUCACCGUUGCUGUUGCUGCUGUGUGCGCGUGCGUGCUGCCACCUUCAGCCCUUCCCACUCUCCCUCAUCGCUCGCUCAAGCGCUCACGUGCGCCGUGGAAGAAAGACGCACGUAACAAAGCAUACACCGUGCUGUGUGCAGCCCGAUCCUCCCCUGCUCGCCCCCCUCCCUCUCCUUCUGCUGCCCCAGUCAGUCGCCCUUCCUCACCAGCGUCCUCCGGUGCGCUCUGGAGCCACUUCCUCUCUCCCUCUGUGUGUGUGUGUGUGUGUGUCAGCACGCGCGGUGCAGGAGAGGCGCCCCUCCUUCCUCUCCCCCCAAUCUCCGUUGGGGGGUCUCUUCUCAUUUCCGAACACACAAAUCCUUUUUGUGUGGCUUUGCGUCCUUUGCCGUCUUUUUAUUUUUUCCACGGGUCUAUCCGACACGCAGGUCCGCACCCUCUCGGCCACGCUCCCGCGCUCGCGCACUCUCGAUCUCUGUGCGUGUAUCCCCCAGAAGCACACACACAUAGACGCAUCCACGCGCGCAGCUACCUACACGAAGAUACAAACCCGCGCUUCAACGUCAGACGCAUCUCCGACACGCGCGCAUACCUUUUCCCGCUUUUGGGGGGGCCUGUGUGCGUUCGCGUUCUCGACGUCUGCAGCGCAGGAGUCACAGGAGCGGCCUGUAGACAGGAAGUGACGCAAGGACGAAGGGGGUGGUGGUGGUGGCAGGGAACAAGUUGCUCCGGAGCAACCUGAUCAGCGCCCCCGCGCCCCCACCCUCCUCUCCUUGCCUGUCUGUCUUCCUGCCUUCCUCCGAUCUUUGCCUAUCUUGAUCUCCGAGGUGCGCCUGUACGCUGACCCCCCUCCCCACCUGACCCGUUCUCCUCUCGCCGCUCGGGCGAGUGUCGCUUCGCUUGUUGUCUUCCGCUCUGGCGGCGCGUUUUGUGGUGCCCUUGGGUCGUUGCGCUGCUCUCUUCGCUCCCUCUCCCUCCUCUCGGCGCGCCGACACGCGUGUGGAGGUCGAAGGAAGUGUGCGGCGCAGAGGCCACUGCUGUGUGUGUGUGUGUGCUGCCGACAGCUGCACUUCGCUUCUCUCUUGCUCUCCCUUCUGACGCCUUCUCGACUUGUCUUUUCGCCUCCCGUCGCUUUCCUAGCUGAUCCCCUUUACGCACGUCGGUCUGUCGGCGACUGGAUGUGUUUCUCGCUGCUCUGCUUGCCGUUCUCCUCCUCUUUUCCAUCGCCACACAGACUCCCUCUCUCUAUCUACCGAACGUCCGCGUUUCUGUGAGCGUUGUGUGCGCGUGUGCGCAUGUUGUUGAGGUCCGGCGCUUGACAAAACGGGGCGGCUUGCACUACUCACCUCUCUCGCCAGACACAGUCUGCGGAGAGGCAGCGUCUCCCUCUGUCUUGCUCGUUGGCCAGCCAGCAAGACCAUCGCACAGGGCCAAGCGCACAGCGAGGCGGCAUCGCCUUCCUAAGCUGGUACUCCCCGUGCUGCCGUGCAGUGUUCAAAGUAGUGGUGAGAGGGGAGGGGCGGUAACACACACACCAAAGGCAGAAACGCCACCGUCUCCGCCCUAAAGGUGGCGCCACCUCACCCCUUGUCGUUGUUGUGUUUUGCGUUGAGAGCAGUGGCGGCAAGGGAGGGGGGCUCUGCUGUGCCACCGUGGUCCUCUUCAGACGCACGCAGAUACGCGCUUGUCCGCGAGUGCAACAAUAGCGGGCGUCGCUCACGCAGCGGGGGGCUUGUUUUUCUGUCGCUCUCGUUGUCCCGGCCCACCACUCUCUCCCGCCCCGCCCUUCGCGCCUCUCGGUCUGUCUUGUCUUUGUGUGUGCGUCCUCGUGCAGAGUCGCUGGAAGAGAAACGAAGUGAACGAGGGAGACACGGGAAAAGGCAAGCACGCUACGGCGGACAUGCUUGUGCACGCACACACGCACACAUCUGUCGUUCCUCUCGUUUUCCUCGUCUAUCUUUUUUCUUCUUCGCUCGCUGUCUGGAGCGGCAGCCGCAGCGACUCAGAUCCCUUGUGUUUUGUGCGUGCGUAGAGACCGGUGCUGCCUCCACGUGUGCCGUGUGCGGGGUUUGACCGUCUCGCCACGCUCUCGAACUGCUUCUCGUCUUUUUUCCUUUUCCCUCUGGGCCGCUUCCGCCCUCCGCCCUCCCCGACCUGCCAACUUGCGUUGCAGAUGUUGCCCUACGCUAUUCGGCAGAUUGUAUGGAUGCUCACCAGUGCCCUGCAGCUGAUCUACGCGCUCAGCACAGGGGUGGUGUGGGUGAUGCAGAUGCUGCGGUUUUUCGUCUACGGCGCCUGCGUUGGGGUGUGCUUUAUCCCACACUGGUGGUGGUACCUGACUUCGCCCAACAUCAUUCGCCGCGUGUCGUACCGCUCCUCCGAGAAGACGAAGCGGCGCAAUAUCUUGCGCGUGCUGGAGGCAGAGGGGGUCGACCUGCGUGAGGUGCUGUGCAAGGACUCCAUCGCGCAAGCAACGCAGCCAUCACAGCAGAUGCAGCUACCACCAUCCCCAGCCACUGCAGCGGCGGCGGCGCGUCGUCGACGUCGUCUAGCGACUGUGGCUGGCGCCGGGCAGCAGGAUGGAGCAGCAAGAGACUGCAGUGACAGCCUGCCCCACACGGUCGACGGCGAAGUCGAUGAUCGUUCUCUCUCCCAGCUGCAUAACCCCUCCCCCUUCUCCACUCUGCGAUGCUGGGAAGCCUCUGGCAGCGGGUAUGACCAACGCACGCCGCUUGGCCUCAGCAGCGAGCCUUUAGGCCGUGACUCCGACAGCUACGAUGAGGCCAGCUUCGUUUCCUCGUCUUCGCAGCGCCGCCGCCGCCGCCCAACACCAUCUCGCUCGGUGCUGACUAGACCAUGUCACGGCGGCACCGAAGCCUCCACGAGCGGCCCGCCCGGCGCCACGGCGCUUGAGCGACUGAUGGGCGCCGUCACGUGCAACCUAAACCCGGCUGACGGCUCCGCCAUGCGUAGCUUGCCGCUGCGACGGCGCCAGCAGUCCCAACCUCAGCGGCCCAUCAUCGAAGACGCCGCUGCGCACCGCUCGCGCGAGCCGGAAGAAGGCAUCGAGCGGCGGCAGGAUGCUCACAACGGCCCUUCCGUGACUGCCACGGCACGCGCCAAGGCACACAGCAGCUCAUCAAGCGGUGGAACAGAAACCCAGCCUCGCAAGCCUCGGCGUGAUGCCACAGGCGACGAGGCUGCCGUCUGCCGCGCAGCACCGGAGGACAGCACGGAAGAGCAGAUGAACGGCUGCAGACUUCGCGGCAGCCCGCAGCGCGUGCACGGGUACGAAGGCCGCCCUGUGCACUACAAGACGCUGCCCAAGGUGAACCCCUCGAGCGAUCCGAUGCUGCGAGAUGUGCUUGCCGCCUUUCACGAGGCGGAGGCGUCGGACGUGACGGUGGGGCUCUCACAAGCUGGCCACCCGUCAGGGCCGCAUUCGCGACGCCAGCCCGGCGGCGCGGCGGCGAGGCGGCCGCGUCGGCGAAGUGGAGCGCCGCCGCCACAGCGCCGGGGGAAAGCUGCUCACGAGCCGCGUGCGCAACCGCAACACAAGCCGCGCGCCCGCACGUUCUCCGAAGAAAACCUCUUUGCCGAACUUGACGAGGAGGACGAGGAGGAUCGUAUGAACCUGCACAACCGCGCUACCGUCGACAUUGUCCUGCCGGCGCCGCUGGACGCCAUCAUGAAGACGCUCGAGUACACCCAGCAGAGCAAGCGGCUGCGCCGCAAGCGCUUUCCUAUUGUAAUCGACGUCUCGGGGGUGGCAUGGAUCAUCGGCAGCCACCUCUGGAGCACCAUGAUAGCGCGGGUGCUGGCACAGCGCGGUUACGUUGUCUUCUGCCCCGACUACCGCAACUUCCCGCAGACGACGAUGGAGGGCAUGACGCUGGACGUCUCGGACGCCAUCGCGUGGGUGCUGAACAACGCGGAGCGCUACAACGGCGACCUGAACAAUGUGACGCUGAUUGGGCAGUCCGCCGGUGCGCACCUGACGAUGAUGUCGCUGCUGUCGCAGGCGCAGCUCUCCGCGUACCGGCACAACGCCGAGAAGGGCAUCCACGAAGGCGUUCCACCGCCGUCGGACGUCGCCUACAACGUCCCCCGCUACAACCCGCGUGAGUCGAUCCACCGCUACGUCGGCCUCAGCGGCAUGUACAAUAUCGAGGGUCUCGUGGACCACUUCCAGGCCGCGGGUCUCACCACCCCGGUGCUGUACCAGAUCGCCGGCGGCCGGGACCAGCUAGCGCGCUACACGCUAAACGCGUACUUCGACGACCGCCGCGGCGGCGACACGGGCGAGGUGCUGCCGGACAACAUUUUUGACUUUUUCCCACAGCGCAUGUUCUUUGUGCACGGCGACGCGGACAAGAGCGCGCCCGUCACGGAGAGCGCGUCCCUUGUCGGAAUGAUGCGGGCGGCGCAGGAGCGCUACACGCUGAGGCGCAGUGCACGCAACGAGGAGGCGCGGCGUCACGCACAACGCAGUCGUCGUUUGUUGCCGGGUGCCUUGGCUGCCGCCGCCGGUGAAGUGAAGAGCAGCAGUGCGGCCACAGCGGCCGGUGUCUUCCCAAGUCCAUUGACGGGAUUGCCGUCGCGGCGUGCGACGGUAGUGGACUUCGAUACGGUGGACUCAGCAGCAGUCGCGACGGCUGCCGAGCAGGCGGUUGGCGCGGCCGUGAGGUUGGCCGACAAUCAAGAGAUCAUCUUCGUCCACAGUAAGGACCUUGUCGAUACCGGUGCAGCACCGAACGCGGCUCAGCAGCAGCAGUACUCCUACGGGACAGGAGCGCCUCGUGCUUCGAUUCUGUCGCCGACGAUCAGCCCCAUCAUUCCACCCUCACGCGAGGACCGUCCUCAGCCGCCGGUGGAGCUUGGCUUUCUCGUCAUCCCUGGCGGUCGACACUCGGACGCCUUCGUGGAUGAAUGCAUCGCCGCGGGUCGCAGCUGCUGCGUUGACUUUUUGUGCGACUACGAGUCGACGAUCGACUUCCAAGGCAACGCCUUAGAGCCGGGCUCGCACGGGCCCAACGCCGAGGGCGCCAGUGGGAACUCCCUCGGCGACUCGGUGUGGACCUCAUCCUUGCCGGAGGCGGACAAGGCGCCACUCUCAUGGGCGCAUGCGCCAGAGAUGAGUGUGAUGCCUGACGCGGUGCUGCCGCUUGCCGUGCCCUACGAAGAUCGCUCGCUGCCACUGCGACUGUGCACAAUGAUCUGUCCAUUCUAAAGCGUGCAUAAUCCCCUCCCCCUCCCUGCCUUCCCGCGUCAGGUGCUGCUGAGAGUUGACUCUCCACGGUGUCUCGACCAACCAAUGUGCAUGCAUACGAUGGGUUGGUCUCGUGCGUGUGCAUGUGUGCCUGCCGGCAUCAAAGAAGGAGAGCCGACGCCGCACACGCGUGGAAGACGGCGCGCCGGUGUCUCUCGGCGCGUGAGGGACGAUGUCAUC